CCUAGCGGAGCGGGGAGCCCUCCAUGGGGGAGGCUCAGCCCUCGGGAAAAAGCGGGAGAGAGAAAGAGAGGCUCGUGUUGAAGGCAACCAGCUGCAACUCUGAGUGGGAAACCCUGGACUGAUCUCAUGGCUUGCUUUUUUUAUUUUAUCUUUUUAAAAAWCUCAUUAAUGCUUCGAUAUCCUUGAAAAAAAAUGAACCUUUUUGGUUGCUAACUCUCCUUGCUCCUCUUCCAUGCGGUGACCGCUUUGUGAGGGAAGAAAUGGCAUGAAGUAAAUGACUCCACUCCAAAGCAAUCUGCUUUGCCAAAGUGCCCACUGAGCAGCACUGUCACUUUAAUAAUUCCAGGUCAAGGGAUUGCUUUCCUCCUUUCCAAUCCUCUCUUUUAAUACAUGGGAGGAUCAGAGGGACAUUAAAGACCAUAAGGCUGGGUGGCUUGGAUAUAAUAAAAAUGAAAGUGACUGGCCAGUGACUCCUGUUGUUGGGGAAGAGGGUGAUAUUUGAAGGCUGUUGUCUGGUGAGGAAAAAAAGGGACCUUUUCAGUCUGCUGAGUAGUCGCCCAAUGCAUAGCUAGCAGAAUUCAUUCAAGAAGUGAAAGAAGUUUAAAGAGUCACUUUGGAUUGUUUUUGUCUUCCUCCUUGUUUGGAUUAUUUGGGAGUUUUUGUCCUGCAAAUAAUAUGCUUUUGAGCAAGUAUUAAGAGAGCUGCCUAGAGAUGGACCGUGCCUUAAUUGUUUUACAUAAAAUMUUUUAAUUUUCAAAUUUUGCUGCCAGAAGAGGAGUUAUAAUAGGGUUUUAUACUGCCAAGGAACAUUUUCUCUUGUAUUUUUAUAGAUUCAAAUAUAUUUUAAAGAAAUUGAAAAUCUCUCUUAAAAAUAUUCAAAAGCUUCUGUUCCCCCCCCCCCCCUUUUUUUUUUCUUUAUUUGUGGGAAGCAUCGGAAGCUCCAUGCAGGAAAACAGCAAGUACUGAUAGAAAUGAAGAUUGAAGCUGCAUUUCAGAACUGAACUGUAAAAGUGUUUUGCAAUAGCUAGACCUCGCAAAGUGUUCCAGUGGUACAUCGUUAAUACCUGUAAUUAAGUGCUUGCAAGCAGUAACAGAAGUAGGAGGAAGAAUGCCAGUCAAGAAGAAAGGUGGGCUAUGAAGCUUCCUAUCUCAUUUUGCAUCUGUGUUUUGUUAAUUUGUAGAUUUCU